rnacentral:rRNA from 1 species
UACGGAGGGUGCAAGCGUUAUCCGGAAUCACUGGGUUUAAAGGGUGCGUAGGCGGUUGUAUAAGUCAGGGGUGAAAGCACGCAGCUUAACUGUGUAAUUGCCUUUGAUACUGUACGGCUUGAAUAGGGUUGAGGUUGGCGGAAUGUGACAUGUAGCGGUGAAAUGCAUAGAUAUGUCAUAGAACACCGAUUGCGAAGGCAGCUGACUGGGCCUAUAUUGACGCUGAGGCACGAAAGCGUGGGGAGCGAAC